rnacentral:rRNA from 1 species
UGGGGAAUAUUGGACAAUGGGCGCAAGCCUGAUCCAGCCAUGCCGCGUGAGUGAUGAAGGCCCUAGGGUUGUAAAGCUCUUUCACCGGUGAAGAUAAUGACGGUAACCGGAGAAGAAGCCCCGGCUAACUUCGUGCCAGCAGCCGCGGUAAUACGAAGGGGGCUAGCGUUGUUCGGAUUUACUGGGCGUAAAGCGCACGUAGGCGGACUAUUAAGUCAGGGGUGAAAUCCCGGGGCUCAACCCCGGAACUGCCUUUGAUACUGGUAGUCUUGAGUUCGAGAGAGGUGAGUGGAAUUCCGAGGGUGGAGGUGAAAUUCGUAGAUAUUAGGAGGAACACCAGUGGCGAAGGCGGCUCGCUGGCUAGAUAAUGACGCUGAGGUGCGAAAGCGUGGGGAGCAAACAGG